rnacentral:rRNA from 1 species
UACUGCUUUUGUACGGAACGAAACGGUCUCUUCUAAUACAGGGGGCUAAUGACGGUACCGUAAGAAUAAGCACCGGCUAACUACGUGCCAGCAGCCGCGGUAAUACGUAGGGUGCAAGCGUUAAUCGGAAUUACUGGGCGUAAAGCGUGCGCAGGCGGUUAUAUAAGACAGAUGUGAAAUCCCCGGGCUCAACCUGGGACCUGCAUUUGUGACUGUAUAGCUAGAGUACGGUAGAGGGGGAUGGAAUUCCGCGUGUAGCAGUGAAAUGCGUAGAUAUGCGGAGGAACACCGAUGGCGAAGGCAAUCCCCUGGACCUGUACUGACGCUCAUGCACGAAAGCGUGGGGAGCAAACAGGAUUAGAUACCCUGGUAGUCCACGCCCUAAACGAUGUCAACUGGUUGUUGGGUCUUCACUGACUCAGUAACGAAGCUAACGCGUGAAGUUGACCGCCUGGGGAGUACGGCCGCAAGGUUGAAACUCAAAGGAA